GAGGUUAUGCUGCCAUGCAGAGGGUUAACCAGUGAAAUCUCGAUUUUACUGAUCAAAGCGAGCAAGGUGACAGGUACCGUGAACUGGCUCAUCGAGUUGAUGAAGCCAUGGGCUUCAUGGCUGUUGCUGGGCUUACAGUUGACUAUCCAAUCAUGGAAUCAAAGUAUUGCGAUUUCGUUGCUGCUAACUAUGUCUUUAGAUGAACGGUUCUUCUUUUAAGUUAUUCCUAUUCAUAAGAGAAGCAGAGAUGCGGUCAGUUAGUGAAACAACUAAUACGCAGGUGGCUAGCUUCAGUAUUGCAUCCUUGGGAGUCUGUGUUCUCGCGGCAAUUUUACAAAUAUUGUAUCUGAAGCGAUAUUUCCAAACUAAGAAGCUAAUUUACACUUCCAUUAAAAUCACAUUCUACAUGACAGAUAAAUCUUAGGACUAGCAUGAUUUGACACUUUUUAUGAAGCAGAUUUUUUUUUAACUAAGUGAUAUUAGUGGAUAUUGUAUCAGAUAAUGAAGGCCUUUUGAGUUAUACACUUGAAUUACUUUCUAUU